rnacentral:lncRNA from 1 species
CUGCUGGCAUCUUCUGUUCUAGUCCACACUAUGCUGUCCCCGGGGGUACUGGGUUUAUAGAGAAGAACAGAGCUCCCAACCCCAGCAAAGAUGCAGAGGGAUUCUAAAGUGGACAGACACUGGCAGUAUUGCAGGACAAGAUUUGGAACCUUACGAGGACACGGAACCUCCUAGGUAAGUUACCAGCCACCUGCUCUUCCUUCCUUGGGAAGAAACACGGUGUUUCCUGGAAGGAUGAACGGCUCAGUGCUGACGUGCUAUGAGAAAUGCAGGCUGCAGCCAGGACUACUCUCCUUCCAAAAAUGAAGUCUUGUUACCAGUGCAUAACAGGACUCUGCUUGCCCACAGGGCAGAACAAUCGGCAUGUCAGAGUGGAGAGGGUAGAAGAGGGUUGGGUCUCUCCCAGAAACACCAGCAGCUAGCUUUAGGCGAGACAGCAGCACCUGCCAUCUAUCCCUUGCACCCGCCUUCCAUGUAUUCCCAAGGCUCUUCAGGACAGGAGGUCUUGAGUACAGGCCCUGUUGUCUGUCACGUUUCAAGGCACUGGGAAAUGACUGAUGUCUGCUGACCCCAGGUCAAGUUCUUUCUCAGAAUUUUACGAGCCAUGUGAUCCUGUGGCGAUAAUAACAAUAAAAACGCAUGUAACACCCA